rnacentral:rRNA from 1 species
UGGGGCAUCUUGGACAAUGGGCGGAAGCCUGAUCCAGCCAUGCCGCGUGAGUGAAGAAGGCCCUAGGGUCGUAAAGCUCUUUCGCCUGUGAAGAUAAUGACGGUAGCAGGUAAAGAAACCCCGGCUAACUCCGUGCCAGCAGCCGCGGUAAUACGGAGGGGGUUAUCGUUGUUCAGAAUUACUGGGCGUAAAGCGCGCGUAGGCGGACCUUUAAGUCAGGGGUGAAAUCCUGGGGCUCAACCCCGGAACUGCCUUUGAUACUGGGGGUCUUGAGGUCGAGAGAGGUGAGUGGAAUUCCGAGUGUAGAGGUGAAAUUCGUAGAUAUUCGGAGGAACACCAGUGGCGAAGGCGGCUCACUGGCUCGAUACUGACGCUGAGGUGCGAAAGUGUGGGGAGCAAACAGGAUUAGAUACCCCCGUAGUCC